UGAUUGGUGACCUAGUGGUUAGAGAAUCCACAUCAGAUGCAGGAGGUUCUGGGUUCAAACCCCAGCCGAGUCAU